rnacentral:rRNA from 1 species
AGAUUGAACGCUGGCGGCGUGCCUAACACAUGCAAGUCGAGCGGUAGCAGGUGUAGCAAUACAUGCUGACGAGCGGCGAACGGGUGAGUAAUGCUUCGGAAUCUACCCACGGGUGGGGAAUAACCAACCGAAAGGUUGGCUAAUACCGCAUAAGUCCUACGGGGGAAAGCGGGGGAUCGAAAGACCUCGCGCCGGUGGAUGAGCCGAAGCCGGAUUAGCUAGUUGGUAGGGUAAUGGCGCACCAAGGCGACGAUGGGUAGCCGGCCUGAGAGGGUGAACGGCCACACUGGGACUGAGACACGGCCCAGACUCCUACGGGAGGCAGC